GGGGCUGUAUUGGUUUUGACAGCAAGCCGAGUCGGAGUGGUAGCAUGCCGAGCGUCGUGAUGCUAGCUCGUAAAUAUCAGGUCUCAACUUAUAAAUGGCGAAAAUAGCUACGCUCUCGCUGCUUAAUAUCACUAAGUGAAUUAGCUUAAUCUCAGGGUCCAAGGUGGCUCAGAGACGAGAAUCCCGCCCGAGUUCCUGCUCUUUGGACAAAGGCAUAUGGGGUUUCAAAAACCAUAGAGCUGGCAGGUGUGACGCCCUUAAGCAUCUGCAAGAUUUAGGGGAUAAGAAUUUUACUAGAAGGUCUACUGUCAGGUAAAAUUCCGAAAACUCAGGUGAAGACUAAGCAUGUAGCGACCAUUUGGGUUCCUUGUUUGGACGAGGGUUCGACACCCUCCAGCUCCACAA
rnacentral:tmRNA from 1 species